rnacentral:rRNA from 1 species
GAUGAACGCUGGCGGCGUGCCUAAUACAUGCAAGUCGAGCGAACGGACGAGAAGCUUGCUUCUCUGAUGUUAGCGGCGGACGGGUGAGUAACACGUGGAUAACCUACCUAUAAGACUGGGAUAACUUCGGGAAACCGGAGCUAAUACCGGAUAAUAUUUUGAACCGCAUGGUUCAAAAGUGAAAGACGGUCUUGCUGUCACUUAUAGAUGGAUCCGCGCUGCAUUAGCUAGUUGGUAAGGUAACGGCUUACCAAGGCAACGAUGCAUAGCCGACCUGAGAGGGUGAUCGGCCACACUGGAACUGAGACACGGUCCAGACUCCUACGGGAGGCAGCAGUAGGGAAUCUUCCGCCAUUGGCGAAAGCCUGACGGAGCAACGCCGCGUGAGUGAUGAAGGUCUUCGGAUCGUAAAACUCUGUUAAUAGGGAAGAACAUAAGUGUAAGUAACUGUGCACAUCUUGACGGUACCUAAUCAGAAAGCCACGGCUAACUUCGGG